GGAUGAGGGGGAGGGUUGGAGUUGCUCUUAUCCCCGUCCUCCCUUCACUUCACGGCUAAACCCCCUCCCCCUCGUCCGCGUCGUCGCUUCUCUGUCUCUAUCGGGUUCCGCUCCUCAUGGCCGGGCUCGCCGCUGGCCUGGGAGCGCGCCCCUCCGCCGCCUUCGAGGCUAGCUGCUUCCGGCCACUAGCUUCCCCCGUCCGCUCCGGUACGGGGAGAUUGAUAGUGCCAAAGCGAUGCUUCACUGUGUCAAGUAGGCUGACGUGGGUGGAAGAUGAGCUCAUGGAAAUAAGAAAGUCACAAGAGCAAAGUUCAGCGAAAUCAAAGAAAAGGCCACCUUUGAGGCGUGGGAAGGUCUCCCCACAACUUCCUGUACCAGAGCACAUUCCAAGACCAUCGUAUGUUGGUUCAAAAGGGCUGCCAGAACUAUGCAAGGGUCAACUGCACGAUGCUCAAGGGAUUGCUGGAAUGAGAGCUGCUUGCAAACUUGCUGCCCGUGUUCUUGACUUUGCUGGGACUUUAGUGAAGCCAUCAGUUACCACAAAUGAAAUCGACACUGCAGUGCAUAAUAUGAUCAUUGAGGCUGGUGCUUAUCCUUCUCCACUUGGCUAUCGUGGAUUCCCUAAAAGUAUAUGUACAUCAGUAAAUGAGUGUGUCUGCCAUGGAAUACCUGAUUCAACACAGCUGCAGACUGGGGCAUUAUAAAUAUUGAUGUAAAUGUGUUCUUGAAUGGAUACCAUGGUGGUACCUCCAGAACAUUUGCAUGUGGACAGGUGGAUGAUUCUAUCAAGCAUUUUUUGAAGGCAGCUGAAGAAUGCUUGGAGAAGGGCAUUUCUGUCUGCAGGGAUGGUGUGAACUACAGAAAAAUUGGCAAGAAAAUAAGCAAGCUUGCUUAUUUUUAUGGCUAUUAUGUGGUGGAGCGCUUUGUUGGGCAUGGAAUUGGAACUAUGUAUCAUUCUGAGCCUCUUAUCCUUCAUCAUGCAAACGAAAACUCAGGGCGGAUGGUUGAGGGUCAAAUAUUUACAAUUGAACCUAUACUUACGAUGGAGAAAACAGAGUGUGUUACAUGGGAAGAUGGAUGGACGACUGUCACCGCUGAUGGUAGCUGGGCUGCUCAGUUUGAGCAUACCAUAUUGGUCACAAGGAAUGGUGCAGAAAUACUGACAAAACUUUGAGUUUAUCUCCUGAUCCUAGUCAGAAGUGACGAUGAGAUGGUUAUGCAGCAGCAUCACCCUCCAGCCUAAUAUCUGAAAUAUCUACUAAAAUGUUCUAGGCCCACAUAUGGCAAGGUUUUCCCCUAUGUAGCAACCGGGCAAGAGAUGUGGGGGCGCACAACUGCAUCUGUUUGCUAUUGCUGUUCACCUGCUGGCUGCUGUAGUAAUAUUGCAGGGUGGAAGUCCUGUCUGACACAUUCAUCACUAAUGAAGCUUCUAGAAAAUUGCUGUAUAUGAAAUUAGCUGUAGUUCAGUUUGUUACAAGUACGCUACCUAUCUUAGCAAGUUGCAACCUUGGUCGCAAUGGUUUCCUUCGGCCUGGAUCUGCGGUUGUAGAAUCUGUUGCGUUACACUGUCUGAUAACUCAAGCUGCGCCAUGCACCACAUAAGAUGGCUGGUUGAACUGUCGAAAUGCAGGCUGAACUCUUGAAAGUUGAAGAACUUCCAGAGAAAAGAGCUUAGCCCCAGCAAGCAACUUGGGCACUUUUGGCUGGCUCAAGAAUUGCAAGUCCACCUGGGACAGCAAAUCUAGACUGCUGUCUUGUGGAGGGAAACUCGCGUGUCAUUUAUCGUUGCCUCAUUGUCAUUGGGACUGUGCCUGUCAAAUUAAAUGUGUACGGGAGAGCCAGAGUUUCUUGGGUCCCUGCCUGCCUGCCUCCCAAAGUGGACCUGCUAAUUGUUUGCCCA